rnacentral:rRNA from 1 species
GGAUGCCUUGGCACUAGGAGCCGAUGAAGGACGUGAUAAGCUGCGAUAAGCUUCGGGGAGUUGCACGUAAACUUUGAUCCGAAGAUUUCCGAAUGAGGAAACUCACUUAGAGUAAUGUCUAAGUAUCAUUAAGUGAAUACAUAGCUUAAUGAGGGGAACUCAGGGAACUGAAACAUCUAAGUACCUGAAGGAAGAGAAAGAAAUUCGAUUCCGUAAGUAGCGGCGAGCGAACGCGGAUUAGCCCAAACCAAUAAAGUUUUCUUUAUUGGGGUUGCGGACAUAUCAUAACGAAGAGGUAUCGUAAUUGAAGAGGUUUGGAAAGACCCACCACAGAAGGUAAUAGUCCUGUAUGUUAAACGAGAAGACUUCAGAUAUGAUCCAGAGUACCACGGGACACGUGAAACCCUGUGGGAAGCAGGAGGGACCACCCUCCAAGGCUAAAUACUACCUAGUGACCGAUAGCGUAUAGUACCGUGAGGGAAAGGUGAAAAGAACCCCGGGAGGGGAGUGAAAUAGAACCUGAAACCCUGCACUUACAAGCUGUGGAAGCACAUUUCUUGUGUGACCGCGUACUUUUUGUAGAACGGGCCAACGAGUUACGUUAAGUAGCAAGGUUAAGCACUUAAGGUGCGGAGCCGUAGCGAAAGCGAGUUUUAACUGAGCGUUCAGUUACUUGACGUAGACCCGAAACCGGGCGACCUACCCAUGAGCAGGAUGAAGCGAAAGUAAAAUUUCGUGGAGGUCCGAACCCACGAGCGUUGAAAAGCUCGGGGAUGACUUGUGGGUAGCGGUGAAAUUCCAAUCGAGCCCGGAGAUAGCUGGUUCUCCCCGAAAUAGCUUUAGGGCUAGCCUCAAGGUGAGAGAUACGGAGGUAGAGCACUGAAUGUCCUAGGGGGUAUUGCACCUACCGAAGACUAUCAAACUCCGAAUGCCGUCAUCUUAUACUUGGGAGUCAGACUGUGGGUGAUAAGAUUCAUAGUCGAAAGGGCAACAGCCCAGAUCGUCAGCUAAGGUCCCUAAAUGUAAGUUAAGUGGUAAAGGAUGUGGGAUUGCACAGACAACCAGGAUGUUGGCUUAGAAGCAGCCACUCAUUCAAAGAGUGCGUAAUAGCUCACUGGUCGAGUGAUCCUGCGCCGAAGAUUUCCGGGGCUAAAACUUACUACCGAAGCUACGGCAUCAGUAAUGAUGGGUAGGGGAGCUUCCCAUACGGGUUGAAGCAUGACCGUAAGGACAUGUGGACAGUAUGGGAGUGAGAAUGUUGGCAUGAGUAGCGAGAUGUGGGUGAGAAUCCCACAGGCCGUAAACCCAAGGUUUCCAGGGGAAGGUUCGUCCGCCCUGGGUUAGUCGGGACCUAAGCUGAGGCCGAAAGGCGUAGGUGAUGGACAACAGGUUGAUAUUCCUGUACUACCGAUAACCGUUUGAGAGAAGGGAUGACACAGUAGGAUAAGCUAAGCACACUGUUGGUUAUGUGUGCCCAAGCAUUGAGGCAGUCAAAGUAGGCAAAUCCGCUUUGAUAAUGCUGGGAUGUGAUGGGGAGCGAAAUUUAGUAGCGAAGUAGCUGAUUUCACACUGUCAAGAAAAGUCUCUAUCGAGGUUAAAGGUACCCGUACCGCAAACCGACACAGGUGGGUGAGGAGAGUAUCCUAAGGCCAGCGAGAGAACUGUUGUUAAGGAACUCGGCAAAAUGACCCCGUAACUUAGGGAUAAGGGGUGCCACCAUCAGGUGGCCGCAGAGAAUAGGCCCAAGCGACUGUUUACCAAAAACAUAGGUUUCUGCUAAGUCGCAAGACGAUGUAUAGGAGCUGACGCCUGCCCGGUGCUGGAAGGUUAAGGGGAUCUGUUAGAGCAAUCGAAGCAGUGAACUUAAGCCCCAGUAAACGGCGGCCGUAACUAUAACGGUCCUAAGGUAGCGAAAUUCCUUGUCGGGUAAGUUCCGACCCGCACGAAAGGCGUAACGAUUUGGGCACUGUCUCAACAACAGACUCGGUGAAAUUGUAAUUCCGGUGAAGAUGCCGGAUACCUGCGACAGGACGGAAAGACCCCAUGGAGCUUUACUGUAGCUUGACAUUGGGUCUUGGUACUACAUGUACAGGAUAGGUGGGAGGCUUUGAAACCAGGACGCCAGUUUUGGCGGAGCCAUCCUUGGGAUACCACCCUUGUAGUACUGGGACUCUAACCAUAGGCCAUGAAUCUGGUCUUGGGACACUGUCAGGUGGGCAGUUUGACUGGGGCGGUCGCCUCCCAAAAGGUAAC